rnacentral:lncRNA from 1 species
AGGGAAAUAACUUUUGCAGAGUUCGUGGAGCCAAAAUGUGCUUUGGUUCUUCCCACUGUUGGAAGAGCUGUUGAGAGGUGUUGUUUUUUUUUUUUUUUCUCUCUCGCUCUUUCUCCCUGCCUCGCCCUCACACGGUUAUCCAAUCUGCCGUUAACGCUGGGACCGAACCAAAACUCCGGUGCCAAAACCUCCACACUUGGAGAACCUUCGGACCCCGAGCUGGGGCUUAAAUUACGUCCCGCACAUGGCCCCAGCCGUGCUGGAAGGCAGUCCCAACUGCACGCCAGUCCCUGGCUGCUGAAGCCCUGGCUCUGGGACGAGCAGCGUUCUGCCCGGGGUUUGCCCACCUUCCCCCAAACCGGAGGCUCCUGUAUUUGCACCACACUGCGGUGGUUUCCCUGCACGGUGGCUCCUUGGGGUGCUUCGCACCAUUUCUGCUCCGGUGCAGAGGUGCCGCGGCGUGGCUGGGGCUCCCUUUCUGGCUGGCUUGGGCAACCUCUCCCCUCGCUCCUGCUGCAGCUGGGUAGGAAACAGCUCCAGCAGCUCAGCCCCGGGCACGAGGGCACGGGGAGAGCGCAGCAGCGGCUGCCAACGCCUGCUCCCGGCGGGGAGCUGGGGAGCUUGAGGCUGGCACAGCUCUCGGCUCCGCGCGGUGGGUCUGGGAGCCCUGCGCACGCAUCCCACAGCACCGACAGCGGCACGAGCGUGCCCACGCUCCUCCGCCGCAGGGAACGGGGUGGGCUGUGGGCGCUGAGUUUUGGGGACAGUGCCCUGGGGCAUUGCUCCAUCGCCCAGUGCUGGGCAGAGCCAGCUUUGCUCCCCAGCCUUCCCGCUGGGAUUUCCCAUGGCUUCGAGCUGCCGAGGAUGAUGCCAGCCUUGGCAAAGCCACCGGGGCUCGGAGAGAGGCCAGCUCACCCAGGCUCUGAACGCACCCAGCCCGCAGGCGAGCACGCUGUGACAACUGCCUGCAGGCCUGGCUCGCUCGCAAACAAAUGCAAAACGCAGCAGGAUCACAGGGGGCUCGGUGUUAAGCGAGGACAGGGCGCCUGCUCCCGCCGUGACAGCCAGCUGGGAAAUCCCUGUCCUCAUGCAGAGGUGCCUGCGCCUGCGAACACCUUGAUGCUGAGCCAGCGGGAUCAGCCUUUGCAUCAGCGGGAUCACCUUUUCCAUCCCUGGCAUCUCCUUCUCCAUCCCUGUUUUCCCCUUUUCUGCCCCAACCCAGCUGUGGGGGGGCAGCCAGUGCCCGUCAGCGGGUGCCUGCGCCCACCCAGGAGGCAAACAGGGAAGCACCACCACCAGAGCUGUUCCCUCUGA